rnacentral:rRNA from 1 species
CCAGCAGCUGCGGUAAUUCCAGCUCCAAUAGCGUAUAUUAAAGUUGUUGCAGUUAAAACGCUCGUAGUCUGAUUUGGAGUGUGUGGGGGUGUGGGUCGAUAGAUUUGCAUACUCGCACACUCGUUCUGACAGAUAUGUCGGGGUUACUUUGAGGAAAUUAGGGUGUUCCAAGCGGGCUGAUGCUUGCAUAGAUUAGCAUGGAAUAACAGAGUUGGACCUGGGCGCUGUUGGGCAGGAGGUGGCUAGGGAAUGGUUAAUAGGGACGGUUGGGGGCAUUAGUAUUUCAUAGUCAGAGGUGAAAUUCCGGGAUUUAUGAAAGACUGACUUCUGCGAAAGCAUUUGCCAAGGAUGUUUUCA